GCCUCUAUAGCUCAGUUGGUAGAGCACUCGUCUAGUUAAAGAGAGGUCUCCAGUUCAAUUCUGGGUGGAGGCA
rnacentral:tRNA from 1 species